AAAAUUUGACAGAGCCAAGAGCCUGAAGAUGCUUCUGCUGUCCUGCACAUGCUCAGUGACCUGAAGGGGAUCUAGACAAGUCUCUCCUUAGCAGUUCCCAAGCUAUUCUUUCUCUCAUGCCUUGCUGCUCCCAGAAGAAAGGGCAGCUCUUGGAGGACACUAGUCCUGAGAAAGCCUGUUGGAUCACCACAGCCCACUUGACUUCUCCAAUCCCAAAUUCUUCUGCUUUUAACAUAGGCAGUAGGCUGGCAGCUGGCACUUGUGAGGGCUGAGGAGGGAUUGUUUUCAGGCUGAGACCUGUGAGAAAAGAAGAGGCUGAUAAUACAGAUGGAACAGAAGAAAAUGUCAAGUGAUUAAACAGCUGUACAUGAAUGCAGACGCAGCUUAAGAGAUUGACUGUUGCCUGCUGGAUAGAGAGAUGGAAAGAAAAAUUGCAUUCACCUGCAUCAGGAUUGCAAAUCCCACCCCUCUGCCUGCAUAUUUUAAAUUGCAUUUGUUACUUCUUUUUAG